GGACAACAACACACCCUGAUUGGGGCCAAAUAAAAAACUAAGAGCAACUGUUAGCAAUCUGAUGAGUUCACAGGCAGAAAAGCGGUCCAAAAGGAGCAUAGCACAGAAGGCAUCAUCAUUACUAUUUUGUUAAAGUUUAUAUAUGCGUUCCAUUCUGAUGCUUCCCUCUCUGUGACCAGAAUGCAGCUCCAGGCUCUUCUGGGUUGUGCCAGUGGAAAGCAAAUUCUGACAGGCACCUAGGAGGACCCAAGAGACUUGGCUCCAGCUCUAGCUCUGACACUUACUAGAAGAGUCUUUUUUAUAACAGAGGAGAAGUCUUGGACAUAAGAAGUCAUCUCAUGAUUAUAUGUGACUUGCUUUUCUUUGGAAUGUGAUAUAAUUAAUAUAUGAUGAAUAAAUAUAUAAUAAACUUCCA
rnacentral:lncRNA from 1 species